rnacentral:lncRNA from 1 species
GGAUAUAUGAAAUAGGAAUCUAAGAUUUGCCAACUAUGAUCAAAUGUCCAAACGAUUAAAGUGAAUUUUAAUUACUUUGCCUAGUUUUUAGGUUAUUGGCAACACAAACUAAAAUAAAAUUGGCAUGUCUAGACCACUAUUUUUUUGUUUGACGUAGUUUGGACCACUAUUUUUUUUCAAUCAAGUAAUUUAGUGACUAAAUUCACACACUUUAAAUAGAGAAUUGAUAAAAUCAAAGCUUAAACCAAGACCCUUACAAAGCUACCAACCGAGCUAUGUUUACGUUUAUGCACGUGAAAAGUUUACUAAAAAUAAUAAUGAACUUUCACAUUUUUCUUUGUUUCUAUGAACCUGUCUAGAUUAAUCAUACGAAUUGUACAUCUUUCUCAACAAAAAUUGUUAACAAUACAUGCAUUUACAAAUUCAACAGGUCAGUGAUCGUUAGAUUUAGAUCAAAUUAAUGGUUAGAUUUAGAUUUUUAAAAAAUUAAAAUACCAAACUUAAAAUCUAAACCGUUUAAUCUAAAAUCAGAUAGUCACCAACAUGCUGAAUUAGUGAAUGUUUGGAUUGGUGAGUGCAACAAAUCUAAGGGAAGCUAAUGAAGGAAAAGUGGUCUCAAGAAUCAAGAUACAUUAUCUCAUAAGUCAUAACAUAGAGCAAAACAAGGUGAUCUAAAACUUCAUCACCUAAUAAUUAAUAACAUAAAAAACUAAACAAAAUGAUGUAAAGACUAAUAAUUUACACACUAACCAGUAAUUAGUUGAUACAUUACACAUUACAUUUUACAAGUAAAGGAAUGAGGAGACAUGCAUAAUAAUAAUGCAAUGAAACUUAAAGAUGUUCUUCAAGGCCAAACAAAAUCCACACAAACCCUCGAUUCCAAUACACUCUCGUCAUCUUUCAGAGCUUCCUCAUCUUUCAACGAUUUUCUCUCAGCAGCAGAAGCACAUGAAGAAGUGGAAGAAGAGGGAGGAUAUGCAGCUAAUAAAGCUGUAGCAUUCCACUCAUGGUUCCUAACAAGUUCUGAAAAUAGAAGUAUCAGUGAAGCCAUAUUGCAAUUCAAAAAUUUCAAGAGAUUUGUAUAUAGUAGUUGAUGUUAAAUAAAAGUUGAUGGUUAAGAAAGAAAAUUUCAAAAGUUAUAUAUAGAGAAUGAAGGAAUAUAAAAGUGGUCACAGAUUGUGUGUUUUCUGUUAGCUGAAACAGCAGUUUUUGUUUUAACGGUAUAACAAAAUCAGUGGUUUGGUUUCUAUUGUUUAUUGUAGCGGCACCGAUGAUUUUUUCUAUGCGUGUUGUUGCCACUUGUAUUGUCUAGGAAUACAUGGAAACUCAAAACCAUGUUUAGAGACCGUGGUUUCUAUUUGCUCAACCAAUUUAGCAAUCAUAAAGGAUCUAUCCCUAUAAUAUGAAGUUCGCCUAAGAAAAAUAUAAAGUUC